UGCUUUUGCCAGGGACAGAACAGAAAUGGAGUCUUAGAACUUACUGAAGUAAUGGUUGAAAACAAAACCCAAGACAUCUCCUACGGCAGAAAAAAUACCAGAUGAACAUCACACUUUAUAGAAAAUCUUGUUACAAGUCAUGAGAAUAAGGCUGUAAAGAUCACAACAUUCAGUUCAUUCAGGAAUACCUCAAAAUGGUGGAGUAAAUAUUCCAGAAUAAACUGAGGGGAAGACUAUGUAGGAGGAGAACGCCACAGCUGGAACCAUACAGAAAAACAUCUCCAUUUCAUCAUAUAAUUAUUUCUGCUAUUCAACAGAAUGUUCGGAACGCUCAGUCUACGGAAUGCUCAGUCUCCUGAAGUGUUAACCAUUGAACAUCCAAGCUGGAGACCGGAAGGGUUGGGGUGCAGCAUCUGAUCAAGGCCAGGCUGGUGCUCUCAGGAGUAGAGUGGUGUGAGCCUCUCUGAGUUUGCAUAACCAUCUUUGAAAUCAAAGUAAUGGGUGGAAAGGCAUACAGCAGCUUAUCCUUCCAUUAAAAUGAAAGCAUCUGAGAUAAAGCCCAGACUAUGACCUGCUGUGGACCAGAAUAUAGAUGACACUUCCAGUUCAAUUGUGUAGCAAACAGAUCUAUCUGUGGCAUUCCUCAAAGAUGAGAAAUGGACUUGGCUUUGUCUGUUCUGAGGGAUCAUUAGUGAUCCAUGCUAGAUGUUCUCCUAAAAUGAUCCGCCAGAGACUCCUGAACACCAAGAGUUGUGAGGUGGUGAACAUAAUUUGAGGCAUAAAAAUCCCGAAGUUCCAUUGCCUCUUGAAAAACACAAUCUGACUUGGCAUCUCCCUGCCUAUUCUAGUAGAACAUAGCAACAGUGUUGGCCACAAGGACUUGCACAGUACACCCUUUGAUGCACAGAAGGAAAAGCUAACACGCUAGGUGAAUUGUUCAAAAUUCUCAAACCUUUACAGGGAGAGAGAGAGUUCUUGAUCUGACCAAGUCCCUGAGUCUGGAGGUCCCCCAGAUGAGCUCCCCCUUCUAGAGAGGAGACAUCUGUGACCAGAAUCACAAAGGGCGGAGAGGAACAAAGAGACCCCUUUGCAUACAAUGGUGAGGUCCCAUCCACCUAUCUAGGGAUUACAAGAUACCUGAAGGUGUGCGAGUGAACAUGUCCACUGGUUGACAAGAUGAACAGUAAACAGACUUCAACCCCUGUAUGCCUCUGAGGGGACAGCUAGCUUACUGAGUUAUGUGUGCACAAGCUGCCAUAUGCCCCAGAAUUAUCAAGCAAUUUCUUAUUGCUGUGCAAAGAUGGCCCUCAUAGGCUCAGGCCCCUGGUCUGUCCACUGCCAGAUGUUUCACUACACGUUCCUGGAUCAAGAUCAGCAUAAAUAAGAAAUGCUAUGUUUAAUACAGUAUAUAAUGGAGUUAUCAAUCAGGAGCCUUGAAGACAAGAAGCUAUUUUCUUCUUUCAAGGAUGUACUGCCAACAUGUAUUAAUCAUUCCAGUAAUGCAAAGUGAAUGCAAUAUAGCUCCAGAAAGCCUACCGAGCACCCUUUGUCUGACUUAAUACAAUACCUGUACCACCAAAAAAAGUAAAUAAAAUGGAAAAUAAAACGUUAUCUGAAUUAAAUAUACCACACACUAAGACUUUUCAAAUUACAUGAUCAAGGCAAAUAAGACCAUAACAUCUACCAAUAAAAUUACUUUUUACCAAAGCUAAGGUCAGGGGAUACAGCAAUAAAAUGAGGGUAAGCAGCCUUAACCUAAACUUUUGAAAAAUAGUGGGGGGAGGAAUGGAAACUGAGUGCUAAAUUUUAAAUAGGCCUCAGUCCAAUCUCUCAUGAAGUUCUACACCUGCACCUGUAGGAGAAAAUUAUGGGGUUUAGCCAUCUAACUACCUGAUCAGCAGGUGUCAUCAGCAGUUUAAAUGACCAAAUCCCAAACUAUGUCUGCUCAAUUAAUUGAGGGAGCAAAAGAAUGUGGGUACAACUAAACUGCAGGUGCAAAUUCUCCCCUACAAAGUUAGAAGCCAUCUUUCAAAAGCAGCCCCCUCAGGGGAAAAGGAGAAUUGCUUUCACUUUCCUUAAAAUUUGCAAAACAACAGAUCUCUUUACCUGCUGCUACAGGGCUUUUCUGUUAGAAGGGA